GACGAACGCUGGCGGCGUGCUUAACACAUGCAAGUCGAGCGAGGUCCAACCGGUGGCAACACCGGGGAAGACCUAGCGGCGAACGGGUGAGUAACACGUGAGAAACCUGCCCCGAAGUUCGGGAUAACCCGGGGAAACCCGAGCUAAUACCGGAUACCCACGAUUGGUCGCAUGGCCGAUCGUGGAAAGAACUUCGCUUCGGGAGGGUCUCGCGGCCUAUCAGCUUGUUGGUGGGGUAACGGCCCACCAAGGCAUCGACGGGUAGCUGGUCUGAGAGGACGAUCAGCCACACUGGGACUGAGACACGGCCCAGACUCCUACGGGAGGCAGCAGUGGGGAAUCUUGCGCAAUGGGCGAAAGCCUGACGCAGCAACGCCGCGUGCGGGAUGAAGGCUCGGUGUAACGACUUCUAGUAGGACGAAGUAGACGGUACCGUACACGAAGAAGACCCGG
rnacentral:rRNA from 1 species